UUAGAGUUUGAUCCUGGCUCAGAAUGAACGUGGCGGCGUGGAUUAGGCAUGCAAGUCGUGCGAGAAGUUUCCUUCGGGAGACGGACAGCGGCGAAAGGGAGAGGAAUACGUAGAAAUCUACCCUCGGGUCUGGGAUAGCGUCGGGAAACUGGCGGUAAUACCAGAUAACAUCUUCGGAUCAAAGGUGUGAUUCCGCCUGAGGAUGAGUCUACGUCCUAUUAGCUAGUUGGCGGGGUAAUGGCCCACCAAGGCGACGAUGGGUAGCGGGUGUGAGAGCAUGACCCGCCUCACUGGGACUGAGACACUGCCCAGACACCUACGGGUGGCUGCAGUCGAGAAUCUUUGUCAAUGGACGAAAGUCUGAACAAGCGACGCCGCGUGCGGGAUGAAGGCCUUCGGGUUGUAAACCGCUGUCGUAGGGGAACAAAUGUAAGGGGUACUCCCCUUUACUUGAGGUCCUAG
rnacentral:rRNA from 1 species